rnacentral:rRNA from 1 species
GACGAACGCUGGCGGCGUGCUUAACACAUGCAAGUCGAACGGUGAAGCGCCUUCCUUUUUGGUGGGUGUGGAUGAGUGGCGAACGGGUGAGUAACACGUGAGUAACCUGCCCCCUUCUUCUGGAUAACCGCAUGAAAGUGUGGCUAAUACGGGAUAUUCUGGGUCUGUCGCAUGAUGGGUCUGGGAAAGAUAUUGUUUCGGUGGGGGAUGGGCUCGCGGCCUAUCAGCUUGUUGGUGGGGUGAUGGCCUACCAAGGCGGUGACGGGUAGCCGGCCUGAGAGGGUGGACGGUCACACUGGGGAUGAGACACGGCCCAGACUCCUACGGGAGGCAGCAGUGGGGAAUAUUGCACAAUGGGCGCAAGCCUGAUGCAGCGACGCCGCGGGAGGGAUGGAGGCCUUCGGGUUGUGAACCUCUUUCGCCAGUGAAGCAGGCCUGCCUCGUUUGUGGGUGGGUUGACGGUAGCUGGAUAAGAAGCGCCGGCUAACUACGUG